rnacentral:snRNA from 1 species
AGGUUUGAACAGUGGCUAUAUCCUAAGUUUUCUCUGAGGUGUAAUUACUGCUAACUGAAUUAUCCCAAUACCUCACCAUGAAGACUUAAAAUAUAGUCAGCAUUGGCAAUUCCUGAUGAUCUCUAUAGAGA